ensembl:lncRNA LINC02465 long intergenic non-protein coding RNA 2465
AUCUCUUCUAAGAUGUCUUGAUCGACUGACCCCAAAGCCAGAGGGUACCAGGUCAAAAAGCAAGCAAAGGUGCUGCUGGUUACUCUUGGUUCAUCUAGCAAUAGAUGAUCUGAAUGUUAGAGUUCGCCAAAUAUUGUUCCUGGGCAGUCUUUGCUCUACCAAAUCAACUUUCUCCAUGGGGGAGCUAGAAGUCACCCCACAUUCUCCGCCAUGGCCAGCUCUACAUUCUAAGAGAACCAAUGGCUCUACCCAACAUAUUCUUCUCACCACAGAUGACAAAGACACAAGGAGCCAAGACAGAUCAUUCAAGCAUAUUCAUUGCCUCUAUCUUCAUCCCAUUAAAUAACAUCCCGCCAACCAAAGCAAGUUAUCUGCAUAAGAAUAAAUAUUCCACCUACUCUACUGCAAGGCCCUGCAAGAGUCAUGAGACAAAAGGAUCCUCUGUGGACAGCACCCAAGAUGGAAACAACUGACAGUCUAUGGCCAGGGCUAUACUCUGGUGAAACUGAAAGGUGUCUGCAUGGAAGUGUCUGACUACCACCAUCCACUCAGGCAAAUGCAUUUGUUUCCCUCUAUUCAUUAUUAGAAGAGAGGAGAUUACAUACCAGACAUAUACCAAUAGGUUUUCUCUUCAUAAUACCUACGUCAUCUAGUAGCAUAACAUAAGGCAGAAUCCUUCAAAGCAGAUCCACGUAAGACACUUGCAUCCAAGACAAGUCAGAAUGAUUACAUAUGAAAGUUUUAAUUGCACUGUAUGGGGAUAUUGCUGUGUUGUGAAUUAAAUAAGAAUUCAUAUUUUCUUA